rnacentral:rRNA from 1 species
UACGAAGGGGGCUAGCGUUGUUCGGAAUUACUGGGCGUAAAGCGCACGUAGGCGGGUUGUUAAGUCAGGGGUGAAAUCCUGGAGCUCAACUCCAGAACUGCCUUUGAUACUGGCAACCUAGAGACUGGAAGAGGUUAGUGGAAUUCCCAGUGUAGAGGUGAAAUUCGUAGAUAUUAGGAAGAACACCAGUGGCGAAGGCGGCUCACUGGCUCGGUACUGACGCUGAGGCGCGAAAGCGUGGGGAGCAAACAGG